rnacentral:tRNA from 1 species
CGUAGUUCAACUGGAUAGAAUAUCAGAUUUCGGCUCUGAGGGUUGAGGGUUCGAAUCCUUCCGCGGUCACUA